rnacentral:ncRNA from 1 species
UCAGAACUGGCUGAGCAGGAGCGGGCCGAAAACCCGCACCGGGCCCAAAGGCAGUGGAGAUUGAUCCGCAGGACAGCA